UUCUUGACAAAUUUAGACAACAUGUGAUAUUCUGAAAAUUUGAUGGAUCAGGUUCUAAUAAAGUGUAGAAAAUAUUUGUGGACUUGAGUAGUGCACCUAAAACUCAGGCGGUGCUCUGUUGUGGUGGAGGUAUUAGUACUCUGAGAAAGUCAUAUGAUUUGAUGCACACUACACUUUUAUAUUCCUUGCUUUGACGGUUGUCAUACUUGAAAAUAUAUGUCAAUUAAUUACAUGUGUAUUAGCUUAGGGUUUAUUUUUAUUAGAA
rnacentral:lncRNA from 1 species